rnacentral:rRNA from 1 species
GUUGUGAGGUUAAGCGACUAAGCGUACACGGUGGAUGCCCUGGCAGUCAGAGGCGAUGAAGGACGUGCUAAUCUGCGAAAAGCGUCGGUAAGGUGAUAUGAACCGUUAUAACCGGCGAUGUCCGAAUGGGGAAACCCAGUGCAAUUCGUUGCACUAUCGUUAACUGAAUACAUAGGUUAACGAGGCGAACCGGGGGAACUGAAACAUCUAAGUACCCCGAGGAAAAGAAAUCAACCGAGAUUCCCCCAGUAGCGGCGAGCGAACGGGGAGCAGCCCAGAGUCUGAAUCAGCUUGUGUGUUAGUGGAACGGUCUGGAAAGUCCGACGGUACAGGGUGAUAGUCCCGUACACCAAAAUGCACAGGUUGUGAACUCGAAGAGUAGGGCGGGACACGUGGUAUCCUGUCUGAAUAUGGGGGGACCAUCCUCCAAGGCUAAAUACUCCUGACUGACCGAUAGUGAACCAGUACCGUGAGGGAAAGGCGAAAAGAACCCCGGCGAGGGGAGUGAAAAAGAACCUGAAACCGUGUACGUACAAGCAGUGGGAGCACCUUCGGGUGUGACUGCGUACCUUUUGUAUAAUGGGUCAGCGACUUAUAUUCUGUAGCAAGGUUAACCGUAUAGGGGAGCCGCAGGGAAACCGAGUCUUAACUGGGCGUUAAGUUGCAGGGUAUAGACCCGAAACCCGGUGAUCUAGCCAUGGGCAGGUUGAAGGUUGGGUAACACUAACUGGAGGACCGAACCGACUAAUGUUGAAAAAUUAGCGGAUGACUUGUGGCUGGGGGUGAAAGGCCAAUCAAACCGGGAGAUAGCUGGUUCUCCCCGAAAGCUAUUUAGGUAGCGCCUCGUGAACUCAUCUUCGGGGGUAGAGCACUGUUUCGGCUAGGGGGUCAUCCCGACUUACCAACCCGAUGCAAACUACGAAUACCGAAGAAUGUUAUCACGGGAGACACACGGCGGGUGCUAACGUCCGUCGUGAAGAGGGAAACAACCCAGACCGCCAGCUAAGGUCCCAAAGUCAUGGUUAAGUGGGAAACGAUGUGGGAAGGCACAGACAGCCAGGAUGUUGGCUUAGAAGCAGCCAUCAUUUAAAGAAAGCGUAAUAGCUCACUGGUCGAGUCGGCCUGCGCGGAAGAUGUAACGGGGCUAAACCAUGCACCGAAGCUGCGGCAGCGACACUAUGUGUUGUUGGGUAGGGGAGCGUUCUGUAAGCCUGCGAAGGUGUGCUGUGAGGCAUGCUGGAGGUAUCAGAAGUGCGAAUGCUGACAUAAGUAACGAUAAAGCGGGUGAAAAGCCCGCUCGCCGGAAGACCAAGGGUUCCUGUCCAACGUUAAUCGGGGCAGGGUGAGUCGACCCCUAAGGCGAGGCCGAAAGGCGUAGUCGAUGGGAAACAGGUUAAUAUUCCUGUACUUGGUGUUACUGCGAAGGGGGGACGGAGAAGGCUAUGUUAGCCGGGCGACGGUUGUCCCGGUUUAAGCAUGUAGGCUGAUUGUCCAGGCAAAUCCGGAUAAUCAAGGCUGAGGUGUGAUGACGAGGCACUACGGUGCUGAAGUAACAAAUGCCCUGCUUCCAGGAAAAGCCUCUAAGCAUCAGGUAACAUCAAAUCGUACCCCAAACCGACACAGGUGGUCAGGUAGAGAAUACCAAGGCGCUUGAGAGAACUCGGGUGAAGGAACUAGGCAAAAUGGUGCCGUAACUUCGGGAGAAGGCACGCUGGUGUGUAGGUGAAGCCCCUGCGGGUGGAGCUGAGACCAGUCGAAGAUACCAGCUGGCUGCAACUGUUUAUUAAAAACACAGCACUGUGCAAACACGAAAGUGGACGUAUACGGUGUGACGCCUGCCCGGUGCCGGAAGGUUAAUUGAUGGGGUUAUCCGUAAGGAGAAGCUCUUGAUCGAAGCCCCGGUAAACGGCGGCCGUAACUAUAACGGUCCUAAGGUAGCGAAAUUCCUUGUCGGGUAAGUUCCGACCUGCACGAAUGGCGUAAUGAUGGCCAGGCUGUCUCCACCCGAGACUCAGUGAAAUUGAACUCGCUGUGAAGAUGCAGUGUACCCGCGGCAAGACGGAAAGACCCCGUGAACCUUUACUAUAGCUUGACACUGAACAUUGAGCCUUGAUGUGUAGGAUAGGUGGGAGGCUUUGAAGCGUGGACGCCAGUCUGCGUGGAGCCAACCUUGAAAUACCACCCUUUAAUGUUUGAUGUUCUAACGUUGGCCCCUUACCGGGGUUGCGGACAGUGUCUGGUGGGUAGUUUGACUGGGGCGGUCUCCUCCCAAAGCGUAACGGAGGAGCACGAAGGUUAGCUAAUCCUGGUCGGACAUCAGGAGGUUAGUGCAAUGGCAUAAGCUAGCUUGACUGCGAGCGUGACGGCGCGAGCAGGUGCGAAAGCAGGUCAUAGUGAUCCGGUGGUUCUGAAUGGAAGGGCCAUCGCUCAACGGAUAAAAGGUACUCCGGGGAUAACAGGCUGAUACCGCCCAAGAGUUCAUAUCGACGGCGGUGUUUGGCACCUCGAUGUCGGCUCAUCACAUCCUGGGGCUGAAGUAGGUCCCAAGGGUAUGGCUGUUCGCCAUUUAAAGUGGUACGCGAGCUGGGUUUAGAACGUCGUGAGACAGUUCGGUCCCUAUCUGCCGUGGGCGCUGGAGAAUUGAGGGGGGCUGCUCCUAGUACGAGAGGACCGGAGUGGACGCAUCACUGGUGUUCGGGUUGUCAUGCCAAUGGCACUGCCCGGUAGCUAAAUGCGGAAGAGAUAAGUGCUGAAAGCAUCUAAGCACGAAACUUGCCCCGAGAUGAGUUCUCCCUGAGACUUUAAGUCUCCUGAAGGAACGUUGAAGACGACGACGUUGAUAGGCCGGGUGUGUAAGCGCAGCGAUGCGUUGAGCUAACCGGUACUAAUGAACCGUGAGGCUUAACCUUACAACGCCGAAG